rnacentral:rRNA from 1 species
AUUGGUACUAAGCCAUGUGAGUCGUUGUAGCAAUACAAGGCAUACGGCUCAGUAACACGUAGUCAAUCUAACCUAUGGACGGGGAUAACCUCGGGAAACUGAGGAUAAUACCCGAUAGAUCAUAAUGCCUGGAACGGUUUAUGGUCCAAAUGAUUCGUCGCCGUAGGGUGGGACUGCGGCCUAUCAGCUUGUUGGUGAGGUAAUGGCCCACCAAGGCUAUUACAGGUACGGGCUCUGAGAGGAGUAGCCCGGAGAUGGGUACUGAGACACGGACCCAGGCCCUAUGGGGCGCAGCAGGCGAGAAACCUUUGCAAUGUGCGCAAGCACGACAAGGUUAAUCCGAGUGUUUCCUGCUAAAGGAAUCUUUUGUUAGUCGUAAAACCACUAUUGAAUAAGGGGUGGGCAAGUUCUGGUGUCAGCCGCCGCGGUAAAACCAGCACCUCAAGUGGUCAGGAUGAUUAUUGGGCCUAAAGCAUCCGUAGCCUGUUCUGAAAGUUUCCGGUUAAAUCCAUUAACUCAACUAAUGGGCUGCCGAAAAUACUACAGAACUAGGGAGUGGGAGAGGUAGACGGUACUCGGUAGGAAGGGGUAAAAUCCUUUGAUCUAUUGAUGACCACCUGUGGCGAAGGCGCCAUACCAGAACGGAUCCGACGGUGAGGGACGAAAGCUAGGGGAGCAAAGGGGAUUAGAUACCCCCGUAGUCCUAGCUGUAAACGAUGCCCACUAGACAUUGGCAAUCUUACGUGGGUUGUCAGUGCCGUAGCGAAAGCGUUAAGUGGGCCGCCUGGGAAGUACGGUCGCAAGGCUGAAACUUAAGGGAAUUGGCGGGGGAGCACACAAGGGGUGGAGGCUGCGGUUUAAUUGGAUUCAACGCC